UACGUAGGGGGCUAGCGUUGUCCGGAAUCAUUGGGCGUAAAGCGCGUGUAGGCGGUCCGGUACGUCCGCUGUGAAAGUCGGGGGCUCAACCCUCGGAUGCCGGUGGAUACUGUCGGGCUUGAGUACGGAAGAGGCGAGUGGAAUUCCUGGUGUAGCGGUGAAAUGCGCAGAUAUCAGGAGGAACACCAAUUGCGAAGGCAGCUCGCUGGGACGUUACUGACGCUGAGACGCGAAAGCGUGGGGAGCAAACAGG
rnacentral:rRNA from 1 species